rnacentral:lncRNA from 1 species
GCCAAUUUGCUGCAGAAUAGGUGUUUCUCCAGCCACAUCAUCAAAAAGGCUGUAUGUUCUCUGUUUGUGAUGGGCCCGAUCUUUAUGUUCUUCUUGAUGAAGCCUUUCCAUCCGCCGAUGGCUUUUGUUUCCAACCGAUGAGUGGGUUUGAUUAGAAGGUCAAAAGGCGUAUCAGCAGAGGAGAUAUCAAGGUUGGUCAGCAUCAGAACAUCGGCCAAAGUUGGGGUCAUCGGUCCGUGGCCAAAAAGAACUGCAUUAAGGGUGUCGGACAAGAAAUAGGAUGCCACAAUGAGUCAUUUCUUUCCAUAUGAGACAAGGAUAGAUUUAUACACUGGUCAAUUUUUCCCUCAUCCCAAAGGACUCUCUUGGAGUUUGACAUCCUGAAGAACCACUCUCUCCAGCCAGGGUUCUCAUUCGGCCAAGACCUGAAUGUGCCUAUCCAGUUAUCUAGAUCCAUAGUUGAUUGUUUAAAUGGGACCCUAUGAGUUUCUAGAUUGAUCAGUUCGGUUGGGUCGGGAUUCCCCAUGGGGCCAAGCCCGAUGAGUUUGGGAGUGUCAGCUAUGGCAAUGGUGAUUCUUUGCCUGAGUUCUUGAGAAGAUAUGAGAAAGACUAAGAAUAGAUCUACCAAUCAUGAAACGAUGAAGAUUAAAAAGGGGAGAGUUUCAAGAGAUUUACCUCUGGGAUGAAAGCCAUGGUGGCUGAAGGAACCACCAUUAGGACUUGAAAGACUGGCGCGAUCGAUGAAACGAUGGGAGAAGGUCACCGGAAAGCACUGGAAUACACCUGGAGGCAGAACAAGCAGAGGCGCUGGAGUGCGUCGGAAGAUGAUUCGCCGGAAACUUUUUCACCUGGAGAAGAAGAAGCGGCGGAGGGGAUGAGUAUUUAGAGGACGGUUCAAGAGAAGAGUAAAUGCGGAAUUUUUAUUUUACCGCACUGUCCGUGCCAAUUUCCAAAAUAGCAGUUGCCCACGGGUGUUCUGUUCGAAAAGAUGCAAUCAUCAAAGAGAAAACUCCGGAGCGAAUAGGGUUUUGCCAUGUUUACUGUUGCACUUUCUUCGGAGGAAAGAGUCGGAGUUGAGAAAAAUUUGGAGCAAAAUAUAUGUUUCACUCCAAAACUGGGGGGCAUGUGUUGACGCCAUUUUUGGACACGUGUUAAGGUUGGCACCAAGGAGAGAAAGGUGGCCGAUGCGGAUGAGCAAAGAAGCUAUAGCUGGGGGAAUCGGCCAAUAGAGCUACAGUGUUUCGGCCGAUUAGCUAAGGGAGUCAAUGAAGACUGGCCGAUUGGGAGCCGGAGCAGCUUGGCCGAUGUGGGCCUAAAAUGGGCCAAGACGGUGAUCAGAUGAAGACGAGGAUUGGCCCACGGAAAAGUUGAACAGUGUCUAAAUCCGAAUACAGGUUAUAUCUGUGUGUAAAUAUUUAUUUUGUUAUUUUGAAUUAGAGAUAAAAAUCGUAGUCGGUUUGGGAAUUAGUUGUAGCAGGGUAUAAAUAGGUGCCUCGUUAGGCUUGUAAAACAAUACAACAAACAUCAAUACA